UACGUAGGGGCGAGCGUUAUCCGGAAUUACUAGGCGUAAAGGGCAGGCAGGCGGAUCCAUAAGUUUAUCGUUUAAGGCGUCGGCUUAACCGGCGUAGGGCGGUAGAUACUGUGGAUCUGGAAUGCGGUUGGGGAAGACAGAAUUCCUGGUGUAGCGGUGGAAUGCGCAGAGAUCAGGAGGAAUACCGAAGGCGAAGGCAGUCUUCCAAGCCGUUAUUGACGCUCAACUGCGAAGGUGUGGGUAUCAAACAGGAUUAGAUACCCGCGUAGUCCCUGA
rnacentral:rRNA from 1 species